CUACGGGGCGCAGCAGUGGGGAAUAUUGGACAAUGGGGGAAACCCUGAUCCAGCAAUGCCGCGUGUGUGAAGAAGGCCUGCGGGUUGUAAAGCACUUUCGGUUGGGAGGACUGCUUCUAGCACUAAUAUUGUUGGAAGUUGACGUUACCUUCAGAAGAAGCACCGGCUAUCUCCGUGCCAGCAGCCGCGGUAAUACGGAGGGUGCAAGCGUGAAUCGGAAUUACUGGGCGUAAAGCGCGCGUAGGCGGCUAGAUCAGUCGGGUGUGAAAGCCCCGGGCUUAACCUGGGAACUGCAUCCGAUACUGUCUAGCUUGAGUACAGGAGAGGAGAGUGGAAUUCCACAUGUAGCGGUGAAAUGCGUAGAUAUGUGGAGGAACACCAAUGGUGAAGGCAGCUCUCUGGCCUGAUACUGACGCUUAGGUGCGAAAGCGUGGGGAGCAAACAGGAUUAGAUACCCCCGUAGUC
rnacentral:rRNA from 1 species